rnacentral:rRNA from 1 species
GAUGAACGCUGGCGGCGUGCCUAAUACAUGCAAGUCGAGCGAACGGACGAGAAGCUUGCUUCUCUGAUGUUAGCGGCGGACGGGUGAGUAACACGUGGAUAACCUACCUAUAAGACUGGGAUAACUUCGGGAAACCGGAGCUAAUACCGGAUAAUAUUUUGAACCGCAUGGUUCAAAAGUGAAAGACGGUCUUGCUGUCACUUAUAGAUGGAUCCGCGCUGCAUUAGCUAGUUGGUAAGGUAACGGCUUACCAAGGCAACGAUGCAUAGCCGACCUGAGAGGGUGAUCGGCCACACCGGAACUGAGACACGGUCCAGACUCCUACGGGAGGCAGCAGUAGGGAAUCUUCCGCAAUGGGCGAAAGCCUGACGGAGCAACGCCGCGUGAGUGAUGAAGGUCUUCGGAUCGUAAAACUCUGUUAUUAGGGAAGAACAUACGUGUAAGUAACUGUGCACAUCUUGACGGUACCUAAUCAGAAAGCCACGGCUAACUACGUG